rnacentral:tRNA from 1 species
GCGCUUGUAGCUCAGUGGAUAGAGCGUCUGUUUCCUAAGCAGAAAGUCGUAGGUUCAAUCCCUACCUAGUGCG